rnacentral:rRNA from 1 species
AACGAACGCUGGCGGCGCGCCUAAUACAUGCAAGUCGAGCGAGAAGACGUAGCAAUACGUUUGUAAAGCGGCGAACGGGUGAGGAAUACAUGGGUAACCUACCCUCGAGUGGGGAAUAACUAGCCGAAAGGUUAGCUAAUACCGCGUACGCUCCUUGGGCUUCGGUUCAGGGAGGAAAGCGAUACCGUGGGUAUCGCGCUCUUGGAUGGGCUCAUGUCCUAUCAGCUUGUUGGUGAGGAACGGCUCACCAAGGCUUCGACGGGUAGCUGGUCUGAGAGGACGAUCAGCCACACUGGCACUGCGACACGGGCCAGACUCCUACGGGAGCAGCAGUAAGGAAUAUUGCGCAAUGGGCAAAGCCUGACGCAGCGACGCCGCGUGGGGGAUGAAGGUCUUCGGAUUGUAAACCCCUUUCGGGAGGGAAGAUGGAACGAGCAAUCGUUCGGACGGUACCUCCAGAAGCAGCCACGGCUAACUUCGUGCCAGCCGCCG